AGUGAACGCUGGCGGCGUGCCUAAUACAUGCAAGUCGAACGGAGUGGCGCACGGGUGAGUAAUAUAUAGCUAAUCUGCCCCUUGCUGGGGGACAACAGUUAGAAAUGACUGCUAAUACUCCAUAGCAAUGGAUGGGACGAGAUCGUAUCAGCUAGUCGGUGGGGUAACGGCCUACCGAGGCGAUGACGCGUAACUGGUCUGAGAGGAUGAUCAGUCACAUGGGAACUGAGACACGGUCCAAACUCCUACGGGAGGGAGCAGUAGGGAAGAGUGUGCAAUGGGGGAAACCCUGACGCAUCAACGCCGCGUGGAGGAUGACACUUUGCGGAGCGUAAACUCCUUUUGUUAGGGAAGCGGUACCUAACGAAUAAGCGCCGGCUAACUACGUGCCAGCAGCCGCGGUAAUAC
rnacentral:rRNA from 1 species